rnacentral:lncRNA from 1 species
UUUUUAAAAAACAUGUGUCCACUUUUGGGAGGAUAAAAGAAUCCUCCAAUGGAUCUUUUAGAAAAAGGGAAAAGAGGUGAACCUCUUCUUCUUCAAGGAAAUUCUUCAACAGUAAGAACAACCUUAAAAAACCUCACUCACCAAAACGGUGGAAACGUCAACGCCUCCACUCUCUCUCAAUUUUUGGCAUUCAAACUACACAAACCAUUUUUUCCUUCUUCCAU